AUUGAACGCUGGCGGCAUGCCUUACACAUGCAAGUCGAACGGCAGCACGGGAGCAAUCCUGGUGGCGAGUGGCGAACGGGUGAGUAAUAUAUCGGAACGUGCCCAGUCGUGGGGAUAACGUAGCGAAAGCUACGCUAAUACCGCAUACGAUCUACGGAUGAAAGCGGGGGAUCGCAAGACCUCGCGCGAUUGGAGCGGCCGAUAUCAGAUUAGGUAGUUGGUGAGGUAAAGGCUCACCAAGCCGACGAUCUGUAGCUGGUCUGAGAGGACGACCAAGCCACACUGGGACUGAGACACGGCCCAGACUCCUACGGGAGGCAGCAGUGGGAAUUUUGGACAAUGGGCGCAAGCCUGAUCCAGCAAUGCCGCGUGCAGGAUGAAGGCCUCGGUUGU
rnacentral:rRNA from 1 species